rnacentral:miRNA from 1 species
GAGACGGAGUCGUGAGUG